rnacentral:lncRNA from 12 species
CUUUGUUCUAUCAGAGGAAAAUGCAGUAGGGGAUUUUUCAGAGAAGAGGAAGCUUCACUGGAGUACCUCAUGACAUUGAAUUGGCCUGGGAGGGGCUACAGUGAGUGCAGUCACACACUGGACUGGAGACAUUUCAUUUGGCAGCUGUCUCAGGUCUCGUCCAUGGUUCUGAUGUGGCUGGGUCCAGUAGGACUCCACGGAUGGCAGGCAGGUCUACUCAACUUGAAGGAAGUGCAGACUCGGGAAAUGGAUUCCAUUUUCCUGGAGAGGGACUUUUCUCAGCAACUACUACACGGACAGAAAACAACAGUAGGAGCCAUCUGAUGUGGAGUCUAAUUGAAGGAGGAUGUGGUUGUUUUCUUUUUUCCUGAGCUGUCCUCAUUGUCUGUCAAAGAACAGAAGACCUUCAACUUCAAGACAAAGUCCAAAACUGGUUAAUUAGAAUACUUGUAUGUCUAAUUAAAAUUGAGAAUGGCUCCUAAUUAUCGAUUUCAUUAGCAUUAAUUAUUAUUUCAAGUGGAUAACCAUAGAUUAUUGCCAUAGAUUAAAGUGCAUUUUAAGGUCAAUUCACAAAGGGAUUUUUUUUCUUACACAAAAGCACAGAGGAGAUUUGCUAGUAGGCCCUCAUCUUAUUCAGGGUUCAACAUGUUCCUAUUGAAAAUUAUAAUUUUCUACCUGUAGUGAAAUGAUUUUAAAAUUCCAAUAGCUUUCCCAAGGGCAGAAUAUUGAUAUUUACCUCUCUUAGAAAGACAUGCUUCACCCUGGGAGUGCUUACAAAUGUUACCUAAAUUAGCUAUCUUCAUAAUGAAGCUGACAGAGUCAAAAUUGAUCGUGCUGAACAGUUCUUAUAAGUAGCAAUGACAAUUUUGAUCUUCCUCUACAGUUUUUCCAUAGAGAGACAGCAUUGCCCUCUGUUCUCAAAUUCCAAACUGCCAAUAAAUAAUCAACGAGCAAUCA